rnacentral:snoRNA from 1 species
GGAUCGAUGAUGAGUAACCCUAACUCUAUGCAUUCCUUGGAAAUCUGAACAAAAUGAGUGAGAACCUCCACCACCGCCGUUCUCAUCGUAUCUGAGGUCC